rnacentral:rRNA from 1 species
AACGAACGCUGGCGGCAUGCCUAACACAUGCAAGUCGAACGAGACCUUCGGGUCUAGUGGCGCACGGGUGCGUAACGCGUGGGAACCUGCCCUUAGGUUCGGAAUAACUCCCCGAAAGGGGUGCUAAUACCGGAUAAUGUCUUCGGACCAAAGAUUUAUCGCCUUUGGAUGGGCCCGCGUUGGAUUAGCUAGUUGGUAGGGUAAAAGCCUACCAAGGCGACGAUCCAUAGCUGGUCUGAGAGGAUGAUCAGCCACACUGGGACUGAGACACGGCCCAGACUCCUACGGGAGGCAGCAGUGGGGAAUAUUGGACAAUGGGCGAAAGCCUGAUCCAGCAAUGCCGCGUGAGUGAUGAAGGCCUUAGGGUUGUAAAGCUCUUUUACCCGGGAUGAUAAUAACAGUACCGGGAGAAUAAGCGCCGGCUAACUCCGUG